GCCUCUUCAGUUCAUUUUUUCUUCUCCUCAGUUUUUCACCGAUUCUUUUCCUCUCCAUUCUUCAAAGCUUUCAUCUGCAAUCUCUAGCAAGUUUUCUUGUGAAUCUUCAUCAGUUUAAAAGAUGCGUAGAACAAAAACCAGAGCUGGUCGCUCACGUAUGGUAACAACUAGUUCGUCUAGCAGCGAGAAUGAUAUUUCCUUAGGUGCCUCUCAAGAAAAGACAUCUACACCACCUGCACCGUCAACCGAUGCUGCCUCUUCCAGCGCUACUUCACAGCGCAGAGGCGGCGUGCCUUCGCAGCGGAAUCAAUUUACCCGCAAGUACGAGGCAUAGUGGAAGGACGACCUUUCAAUGUUCACAAACAUUGAAGCCGCCCGAGUAAUAUCAUCGGCGUUUAAAUCGUCGAUGGAGAUUCCAUUGUUUCAAUGGAGUCAGAUAUCCAAGCAUCCUGAAUGGAUGCCUCAAAUCAAUGCAUGGUUUGACAGGUUUGAGAACAAAUUCUGCUGGGACAGUGAGCAUAACACUGUUACGAGGAGGGUGUGGGAAAAUCACGC